rnacentral:rRNA from 1 species
GGGGAAUAUUGCACAAUGGAGGAAACUCUGAUGCAGCAACGCCGCGUGAAGGAAGAAGGCCUUCGGGUUGUAAAUUUCUGUCUUUGGGGAAGAAUAAAUGACGGUACCCAAGGAGGAAGCCACGGCUAACUACGUGCCAGCAGCCGCGGUAAUACGUAGGUGGCAAGCGUUGUCCGGAAUUACUGGGUGUAAAGGGUGCGUAGGCGGGUGAUCAAGUCAGGUGUGAAAUACCACGGCUCAACUGUGGGGGUGCACUUGAAACUGAACAUCUUGAGUGAGGUAGAGGUAAGCGGAAUUCCAAGUGUAGCGGUGAAAUGCGUAGAUAUUUGGAGGAACACCAGUGGCGAAGGCGGCUUACUGGGCCUUAACUGACGCUGAAGCACGAAAGCAUGGGGAGCAAAC